rnacentral:rRNA from 1 species
UACGUAGGGUGCAAGCGUUGUCCGGAAUUAUUGGGCGUAAAGAGCUCGUAGGCGGUUUGUCGCGUCUGCUGUGAAAACCCGAGGCUCAACCUCGGGCCUGCAGUGGGUACGGGCAGACUAGAGUGCGGUAGGGGAGAUUGGAAUUCCUGGUGUAGCGGUGGAAUGCGCAGAUAGCAGGAGGAACACCAAUGGCGAAGGCAGAUCUCUGGGCCGUAACUGACGCUGAGGAGCGAAAGCAUGGGGAGCGAACAGG